CGCCUGUUUUUCAAAAACAUCGCCUCUUGUACCCCAAUAAGAGGUCCAGCCUGCCCAGUGACCCUGUUUAACGGCCGCGGUAUCCUAACCGUGCGAAGGUAGCGUAAUCACUUGUUCUUUAAAUAAGGACUAGUAUGAAUGGCAUCACGAAGGUUAUACUGUCUCCUUUCUCUAAUCAGUGAAACUAAUCUCCCCGUGAAGAAGCGAGGAUAUACAUAUAAGACGAGAAGACCCUAUGGAGCUUUAAACUUUGAUCAACCGCCACUGACUUUGCUAAUUUCAGAAAAUCAAAUUUAAACCCAACACCCUUGAUUUAAAGUUUUCGGUUGGGGUGACCACGGAGUAAAAUUUAACCUCCGCGCUGAAAGGACUUAAAACCUUAGCUAAGAGCUACGACUCUACGCAUCAACAACUUGACACUAAUUGACCCAAUAUAUUGACCAACGAACCAAGUUACCCUAGGGAUAACAGCGCAAUCCACUCCAAGAGCCCCUAUCGACGAGCGGGUUUACGACCUCGAUGUUGGAUCAGGGUAUCCCAGUGGUGUA
rnacentral:rRNA from 1 species